rnacentral:rRNA from 1 species
AACGAACGCUGGCGGCAGACCUCAAACAUGCAAGUCUAGGGGUGCAGCAAUGCAUCACCGGCGGACGGGUGCGUAACGCGUGGGAAUAUACCUUUUGGUUCGGAACAACUGCGGGAAACUGCAGCUAAUACCGAAUGUGCCCUAACGGGGAAAGAUUUAUCGCCAAAGGAUUAGCCCGCGUAGAUUAGCUAGUUGGUGAGGUAGUGGCUCACCAAGGCUCCGAUCCUUAGCUGUUCNGAGAGG